rfam:Populus trichocarpa scaffold_3_contig_162, whole genome shotgun sequence.
UCUAGAACUUAAGAUAUGGGUUGAGCACUGAACAAUGUCUGGGCUACAAGACAAAUUCCGACUUCUCUUUUAUUGCUACAAUUUGAACUUGAAAACGGCUGUUUGUUAUCUUGGACUCCUCAUGAAAGUUUUAGGCCUAUGUCUUAUCUUUCCGUC